ACGGUUACCUUGUUACGACUUAGCCCCAGUCACCGAUUUCGCUCUAGGGCGCGCCUCCCGGCGACGCACUUCAAGCGCCCUCGGCUCCCAUGGCUUGACGGGCGGUGUGUACAAGGCCCGGGAACGUAUUCACCGCGCCAUGGCUGAUGCGCGAUUACUAGCGAAUCCAGCUUCACGGAGUCGGGUUGCAGACUCCGAUCCGAACUGAGAGGGGCUUUCGGGUUCCGCUCGGCGUCGCCGCCUGGCUUCCCGCUGUACCCCCCAUUGUAACACGUGUGUCGCCCCGGACGUAAGGGCCGUGCUGAUUUGACG
rnacentral:rRNA from 1 species